UCGAGGACGAACGCUGGCGGCGUGCUUAACACAUGCAAGUCGAACGGUAAGGCCCCAGCUUGCUGGGGUACACGAGUGGCGAACGGGUGAGUAACACGUGGGUGACCUGCCCCGCACUUCGGGAUAAGCCUGGGAAACUGGGUCUAAUACCGGAUAGGACCGCACCGUGAGGGUGUGGUGGAAAGUUUUUCGGUGUGGGAUGGGCCCGCGGCCUAUCAGCUUGUUGGUGGGGUAAUGGCCUACCAAGGCGGCGACGGGUAGCCGGCCUGAGAGGGUGGACGGCCACAUUGGGACUGAGACACGGCCCAGACUCCUACGGGAGGCAGCAGUGGGGAAUAUUGCACAAUGGGCGGAAGCCUGAUGCAGCGACGCCGCGUGGGGAUGACGGCCUUCGGGUUGUAAACUCCUUUCACCAUCGACGAAGGUUUUCUGACGGUAGAUAGAGAAGAAGCACCGGCUAACUACGUGCCAGCCGCCGC
rnacentral:rRNA from 1 species